rnacentral:rRNA from 1 species
AGAGUUUGAUCAUGGCUCAGGAUGAACGCUGGCGGCGUGCUUAACACAUGCAAGUCGAGCGAUGAAGUUUCCUUCGGGAAACGGAUUAGCGGCGGACGGGUGAGUAACACGUGGGUAACCUGCCUCAUAGAGUGGAAUAGCCUUCCGAAAGGAAGAUUAAUACCGCAUAACGUUGAAAGAUGGCAUCAUCAUUUAACCAAAGGAGCAAUCCGCUAUGAGAUGGACCCGCGGCGCAUUAGCUAGUUGGUGGGGUAGCGGCCUACCAAGGCGACGAUGCGUAGCCGACCUGAGAGGGUGAUCGGCCACAUUGGGACUGAGACACGGGCCCAGACUCCUACGGGACGCAGCAG